AAGCGAAUCCGGCCGCAGAAAACUGAAAUACUAUCCGCGUGAACGAGAGAAAUUUCCACCAGGAGCAAUGAAGACUCUGAUCCUGCUGUUUCUCGUUGCGUUCGUGGUGGCUACGGCACAGCGCGGUGGCUACCGUGUCCUUGGUGAAGGCGGCUACAGAGGGCUGGGAGGCUACGGCAAUGCGAGAACCGACCCCAGCGGCUAUGGCGGGGUCGAGCGGGAAGGCUACAGUGGCGUCGAACGCGAAGACUAUGGUGGUGGAGACAGUGCAGGAGGAUACUACAGCGGAUGAAUGAAAAUAAAUGGCUUCUCAUUUUG